UACGUAGGGUGCAAGCGUUGUCCGGAAUUAUUGGGCGUAAAGAGCUCGUAGGCGGUCUGUCGCGUCUGCUGUGAAAACUCGGGGCUUAACUCCGGGCCUGCAGUGGGUACGGGCAGACUAGAGUGCGGUAGGGGAGACUGGAAUUCCUGGUGUAGCGGUGAAAUGCGCAGAUAUCAGGAGGAACACCGGUGGCGAAGGCGGGUCUCUGGGCCGUAACUGACGCUGAGGAGCGAAAGCAUGGGGAGCGAACAGG
rnacentral:rRNA from 1 species